UCUCGAGACUCGGUUCUACUCGGUGCUCGACUCGCCUCGAUGGUGGUCCACUGAGUUCGAGAGGAAGAUCGAUUCCAUGCUACGAUUUGUCGUCGUCUGGAGCGAUGGGUCGCUCACGCAGAUUCGCACCAGGCACUGCUCUGAUCGAUUGCUCUCUUACGCUGCCGAAAGCCAAGCGCCUCUGCUUGCCCAGUGUCGUCUCCUGUGUUUACCUCUGAGGUUAUCGUUGCUGGAGAAGAAGAGAUGGGUAUCGAUUGGGGGCGCCAAUCUGAGUGACAGUGUGAAUGAGGAUCCGAGCACCUCCAUUUCUUCUGAUAUGUUCUUCUACAUCUUCACAGCGAGUCGAUGGCUACCAAAGACUCUUCUUUCUCAGAUCUGAGUUUCGCUAGGAACCUUCAACCAGGAACAACCAAGGUGAGGUUAAGAGAAAUAAAGAGAGAGAAUUUUGGGGCUGAUAGUUUUCAGGGGAGAAGAAGAUCCAAUCGGUGGGGGACCUAAAUCUGAAAAAUUCAGAGGUAACGUUAGGCAGUAACCUUUUGGGAAGGAGAAAUUGUUGACACCAAGAAUUAUACUUUCUUCACUGGAAAAUGGGAAGCAACACCAGAGGAUGAUAUAAGGCACUGGACCAAGUUUUCUUCUUUUAAUUCUUUACUUGUAAGGAGCUUAUCUUCUUUCUUCUUCUUAAAAUUGUUUUAUAAAAGAAAAAAUAAUUGCAUAGGAAAUGUAUAAUAUAAUCUACUUGUUCAUAUUUGCUUUAUUAAUUUUGUUUUCAAUGAUUCAUUUCCCGUUUCCUUCAAUUCCAUUUGGGUUUUGGAUUUUAAGGUUGUAAAUUUAGGUUUAUUGAUCAAUUAAGGGUUAUCCAGUUGGAUGGGGUAAAUUUUCAGACCUUGUGGCUAAUUAAAAUACUAUUUUCAUUUUUAUGUACUCUGUUCUGAUUUGAUAUUUUUUUCCCUUAAUUAGUCGUAGGGAACGUGAAUUUAAGGUGACCAUCAAGUUUGCUUCGAAGCCAGACUUCCAUCAUCUGCGGCAGUUUUUACAGAGCAGGCAACUUGAUGCUCCUCAAAAGACAAUUCAAGCACUGGAUGUUGCUCUCAGAGGAGAUCCAUCGGAUAAGUAUACUGUUGUUGGGAGGUUGUUUUUUCACCUCACACUGGGGCGUCCUGUCAUUUGCAGAAUACAAGGACUUAUAAGAUUACUGGGAUAUCGACAGAGCCACUGAACAAAUUAAUGUUUACUCUUGAUGAUAAGAUGACACAGAUUUCAGUUGCUGCUUAAACUUUACCAUUAAACUACAUACACUCGGUUUGUUGCUUCUUCUAUUUGCUGGUUCAACAAGCUUUUUCAGACCUGGAGAGGGAGCGUGGUUAUCUUGUUACUGAUGAAGUGUUUGAGGUAAUUUUUAACUUAGUUGCUUUCGAUGAAAGCCAAGUUGUAAUUGUAUGUUGACUAGUGAUUGGUGGUGGCACUUAUUUGUCUAGUACUUGUAGCUACUGGUAUGAGAGUUAUUAUUAGCUCGUGUUCUCUCUCUCUCACUCUCUCUUUCUCUCUCGAUUUUCGUGUUGUUAAUUUCCUAUUCUCAAUUGCU